rnacentral:rRNA from 1 species
GUGGGGAAUUUUGGACAAUGGGCGAAAGCCUGAUCCAGCCAUGCCGCGUGCAGGAUGAAGGCCUUCGGGUUGUAAACUGCUUUUGUACGGAACGAAAAGACUCCUUCUAAUAAAGGGGGUCCAUGACGGUACCGUAAGAAUAAGCACCGGCUAACUACGUGCCAGCAGCCGCGGUAAUACGUAGGGUGCAAGCGUUAAUCGGAAUUACUGGGCGUAAAGCGUGCGCAGGCGGUUAUAUAAGACAGAUGUGAAAUCCCCGGGCUCAACCUGGGAACUGCAGUUGUGACUGUAUAGCUAGAGUACGGUAGAGGGGGAUGGAAUUCCGCGUGUAGCAGUGAAAUGCGUAGAUAUGCGGAGGAACACCGAUGGCGAAGGCAAUCCCCUGGGCCUGCACUGACGCUCAUGCACGAAAGCGUGGGGAGCAAACAGGAUUAGAAACCCGAGUAGUCC